rnacentral:pre_miRNA from 1 species
CAAAUACUCCCUCCGUCCGAAAAUACUUGUCAUCAAAAUGAAUAAAAAGGGAUGUAUCUAGAACUAAAAUACAUCUAGAUACAUCUCCUUUUAUCCAUUUUGAUGACAAGUAUUUCCGGACGGAGGGAGUACCAC